ensembl:lncRNA
CAGUAGAAGGACAAACGAGGAAAGUCAGUGUAACGACAAUGAAGAAACUGCAUGUGUACAGGAAGUGUAGAGAAAGACUUCAAAUUCCAGCGGGCAAUGGGUGAGGCAAUAAAUAAGAGAUCAAUACAGAAAUGGUAUUAACAGUUAACUUUUGUAUUAUGUUUCACAGCCCACAAAUGCUUUUGCAUACCGUGUUAUUUAACUCAACACAACUCUUUACUUUCACUAAUAAUUUAUUAUCUAUUAGUCAGUGUUAUUCAUGAAAUAGACUGAAUUAAAUACCACUGUUGCCUAUGGCUAAACCUUGAAUAUUUUUAUUUUAAGUUCUUUCUUUCAGAUGGAAGGAUGACAACACACUUCUCAAAUGCCUCAUCCACAAAAUCUAAUCUCAUGCAAUGAUAUGGAUUGUUAGUGACCCAAAUGGGUGUACAAACAUUAUUUCAAUUGCAGAAAACCUACCCCAAACUGACUUCAACCAACAUGACUCCAAAGAUAUAGAGGCAAAGCUUGCUUUAGGACUUGUAAAAUAUCCCUAAGAUCUUGCUAUGGGCUCCAUAUGCUUUGUAGUGCCUCUAUAUUCAGGCUGCAGUAGGAAGGUCCCAGCAACUGAGUACUGCCACAUCAUGGCAGCACCCAGUCCAUCAAAAUAUAGUCUGCUUUCUGGCUAAUUUAAAAACAAACUCCAGAAUUUCUGUUCUGGAGAACAGAACACUAAUGUUCUGAUGGUAAAAAGUAUGGAGGUUACUGGCAAAAGCAACAAGUAUCUAUUACAUCAAAAUGCUGCACAUAAGAGUGCUUCACACUCUGCUAUUUUGUUCUCUCCAUGACUAGUCUAUUUCUUCUCCAGUCCAUCUUAUCUGCUGAUACCAGAUUAAUUUUCGUAGAGGACAGACUUAUUCAUGUCACAUCUUUGUCCAGAAACCUUAAAAGUUCCCUGUGAUUUAUGGAACAAAUGUCAGACUUCUUAGCCUGACAUUUAAUGUCCUUCACAAUCUGGUCAUGCCCAACUCAUCUAACCAUUCUUAUCUCCAGCCUUUGCUUCUGCUGUGUGCUUUACAAAAUGUGUUUUCUUACCCUCUCUAUUGUCUAAAUUGUACUGACAGUGUAAUAAGUAAAGCAAAUGGCAUGUUUUGUUAUGAAGCUGAAAGUAAUUUUGUCCUCCUUUCAACUCCCAGAAUUGCAAACCUCUGCCACAGUACCCACUACUUUCUACUUGACUCUGUUAUUUCUGGAUCUGCCUACCAGAGUCCAUAUUCCUCACUGAAGAUGGAGUUUAGGUGUGGAAAAAGUCUACAUGCAAAGUAACUACUAAUGAAAGUUUGUGAAGAUGUUAAAAUCAACAAAUUAAUCACCCUUAUCUUGAGAAUAUUUUUCCCUUUGCUAAUGUUGACAUCUUUACUUAAUUCUUGUAUUUCUCUUUCCUUUUAUUGCCAAAAAUUUUAAAUAAAUGAGCUAUAUUCAGUUCCUCAGUAGCAAUACUUUAUUAUUGCACAUGUAUUUUAAUGGCAUCUUAUGUGUCAGAUUCAAAGGUCUUCAUCCAUUCUCAUUUUUCUUCACACUUUUUGAGUUCUCACUCCUAUUCACCAUAAAUUUUUCUUGAAAGCUUCUUUAUCCCCAAAUUUCAAAAUACUGGAGGAUUCUUCUCCUCAAUUCUGCCUCUCUCUUUUGGUAAUAACUCCUAAAUUGAUACAACACCCACGUUGCACUCUCUGAUUGCUGUGCUGUGAGUAUGCAAGUAUGAAUAAGACAGGUUUCUGGGACCUCCCAAUCUAGCGAAAUGCAAGAGCAUGGGGCCUAUCUGCUGUGAGAGGCAUAACCAAAGCACUAAGGUGGAACUGAUGCUGGCCUAAUAAAUAUGUGGGGGGAGGCAGCAUGGGAACAGGGAACAGCAAAUGGAAAAUUGUGGUAAUAACAACCUGUGAUAUGUCAGAAACUGGGUGAGAAAUUUAUCAAGGCUAGAGCUUAAAGGUAGAUAAAAAGUUGAAGAUCAGGAGAGCUGAAAAGAAGACUGAGGACUGAGUUGUAAAGGAUUUUACUCUUUAUGCAAAUAUAUUUGCUCUUUAAUGAACACAGUCAGUGCUCAAUAAGUGCUGGGUAAAAGUAUCAAUAAAUCAUUUGACUAACUAGCAUGUGUUGAAUAGGAAGUGAAAAAUAAAUGAUCUCUGAUUAUGAGAAACAUAAUAUGUAGUUGGAGGGAAAACAGUUUAUAGGAUGAGAAAACAUAGAAUACUACAAAAUUAUACAAGGCACAUAAGUAUGGGAGAAAAGAGUAUUAAUCAAUGUGUAUAUACUGACUAUUAGUCCUUGAAUGCCAAGUAGGCUUUGGGUAGAGUCAGAAGAGAAAGGAUGACAUUUAGGUAAAUGGAAAAGCUCAAACAAAGACAUAGCUGAAAAUUGGCCAAGAAUGGAAUAAGAAUAAUACUGGCAUUGGGCUACAUGAAUAACUACUGUGUGUUGGGAAAUGUAAUAGUCAUUGAUGUUUGCAAUAGCCAGCAACCAAGCUGGCCACAAAGAGUCCCAUUCUCAUAUUUAUUAGCAAG